rnacentral:tRNA from 1 species
GUGGGCGUAGCUCAGUCCGGUUAGAGCACUUGGCUGUGGCCCAAGUGGCCGGGGGUUCAAAUCCCCUCGCUCACC